AUACGUAGGUGGCAAGCGUUGUCCGGAUUUAUUGGGCGUAAAGCGAGCGCAGGCGGUUUCUUAAGUCUGAUGUGAAAGCCUUCGGCUUAACCGAAGAAGUGCAUUAGAAACUGGGAAACUUGAGUGCAGAAGAGGACAGUGGAACUCCAUGUGUAGCGGUGAAAUGCGUAGAUAUAUGGAAGAACACCAGUGGCGAAGGCGGCUUUCUGGACUGUAACUGACACUGAGGCACGAAAGCGUGGGGAGC
rnacentral:rRNA from 1 species